AUGGCGCACAGGGUCCUGGAGCUGACGCUGGUGUCGGGUCACAACCUGAAGGAUGUCAAUGUGUUCAGCCGCAUGGAGGUGUACGCCAUCACGUCCGUGUUCGGCGACCCUCGCACGCGGCGGGUGUUCGGCGACAUGCCGCCGUCGGACAAGGCGGCUCAUGACUCCGGGUACAAGCCUACGGCCGACGGUGCAGGGGUCGCCUUCUGA
rnacentral:rRNA from 1 species